UAAGUUAGAAGUUGAAAGUGAAUAGCACACUGUCCCAACGCGCCAAGCCUGAAAAGGAAGGUGUAAAGAGAUGUGGGGGUGAUAGUCCCACCUAACUUU
rnacentral:ncRNA from 12 species